rnacentral:rRNA from 1 species
GGUGGUGCAUGGUUGUCGUCAGCUCGUGUCGUGAGAUGUUGGGUUAAGUCCCGCAACGAGCGCAACCCUCGUCGCAUGUUGCCAGCACGUCAUGGUGGGAACUCAUGUGAGACUGCCGGGGUCAACUCGGAGGAAGGUGGGGAUGACGUCAAAUCAUCAUGCCCCUUAUGUCUUGGGCUUCACGCAUGCUACAAUGGCCGGUACAAAGGGCUGCGAUGUCGUAAGGCGGAGCGAAUCCCAAAAAGCCGGUCUCAGUUCGGAUUGAGGUCUGCAACUCGACCUCAUGAAGUCGGAGUCGCUAGUAAUCGCAGAUCAGCAACGCUGCGGUGAAUACGUUCCCGGGCCUUGUACACACCGCCCGUCAAGUCAUGAAAGUCGGUAACACCCGAAGCCGGUGGCCUAACCCUUGUGGAGGGAGCCGUCGAAGGUGGGAUCGGUGAUUAGGAAUUC